AGUCCACUCCUAAAAGUAUAGUCGUUACUGGCGCGUAAUGACUAAUUAAUGAGUGAUUACACAAUAGAGAGAGAAGAGGGAAGUGAACAGAAGAAUUGUGUGGGAUAAGUUGUUUAGCUUUUCUAAGAAUUGAAGGUUAUACAAUUAUACUGUUGUUGGGCUGAAUACAUAAUGGGUGGUUAUAUCCUGAAAUUGCUUGUUUUGUUGGUAAUGCUAUGGCAUUUAGGAUCCAACCAUGCAGCAACAGAGGGUGGAGAAAAGAAGUGCAAAGAGAGGGAGAGACUUGCUCUGCUCAACUUCAAACAAGGCCUCCAUGAUAACUAUGGCAUUUUGUCUUCAUGGAAGGACGAGAAUGAUUGCUGCAAAUGGAAGGGGAUUCGUUGCAACCAUGAAACUGGGUACGUUGAGAGGCUUGAUCUUCACUGCUCUGAAGCACAAUACUACUUGAGCGGUGAAAUCAGCCCUUCCUUGACUGACCUCCAACACUUGUCGUAUCUAGACCUCACUUGCUUAUCAAAUAACGCCACUACUCACAUCCCACCAUUCUUGGGUUCUUUCCCAAAUCUAUGCUAUCUCAAUCUCUCUUCUUUCUCCAAUUAUGUUCUUAGAAAACCUUAUUUUGAGGGAGAGAUCCCAUCACAGUUGGGAAAUCUCUCGCAACUGCAGUAUCUUGAUCUUAGCUUCAAUCUUCUUGAUGGAGCAAUCCCUUCUCAACUUGGAAGUCUCUCACAGCUACAGCAUCUUGAUCUUCGUAGCAAUCAACUUAGAGGAGUGAUCCCCUACCAACUUGGGAAUCUUUCCCAACUGCAGCAUCUUGAUCUUAGUCUCAACCGACUUGGAGGAGUGAUCCCCCACCAACUUGGGAAUCUUUUCCAGCUGCAGCAUCUUGAUCUUCGCUACAAUCAGAACCUCAAUGUUCAUGGUAAAAAUCAUGGCAGUAUUCAGUGGCUGUCAAAUCUCUCCUCUCUAACAAGCCUUGACUUGAGUGAUGUCCUUAAUCUCAAUGAUUCUUCUCUACACUCACUCCAGUUCCUUGGAAAGCUUCCAAGUCUAAAAGAACUGAGGCUAAGCAGGUGUGGCCUUUCUGAUUCUCAUUUUCUUCCAUUGUCUGAUUCCAGUUUGAAUUUCUCUAGUUCCCUUUCUAUACUUGAUCUGUCUGGGAAUUAUUUGACAUCACAAACUAUAUUUCAUUGGGUGUUUAACUUCACCUCUAAUCUCCAAGUGCUUGACCUUUCCGACAACAUCUUAAGAGGCACCUUUCCUGAUGAUUUUGGCAGCAUAAUGCAUUCGCUUGAAAGUAUUAAACUCUCAUACAACAAUCUAGAAGGCCCUGUUCCAAAAUCCUUGGGGAAUAUAUGCACCUUGCAAUCAUUUUCUGCUUUCAACAAUAACUUGACUGGGGAUCUUUCGAGUUUUAUUCACAACUCUUCAAGAUGCACCAGUAGCUCGUUACAAAGUGUGGAUUUAUCGAGAAAUAAAAUUCAUGGCAUGUCGCCUGACAUUUCAAACAUCUCGUCUUUGAAAGAGUUAUGGCUUUCAGAUAAUGAAUUGCAUGGAGAAAUACCUACAAGCCUGGGAUUGCUUACUGAGUUGGAGUAUUUGUUUCUUGAUGGAAAUUCUCUUGAAGGUGUCAUCACUGAAUCCCAUUUCACUAACCUCUCCAAAUUGAAAUACUUUGACAUAGCAGGUAGCUCGUUGACUAUCAAGAUUAGUGCCCGCUGGGUUCCACCUUUCCAAAUACAAAGUUUGAUUAUACCAGGUUGCACGGUAGAUUCUAAUUUUCCACAUUGGCUCAAGAAUCAAAAUGAAUUCUACUGGCUUGAUAUUGCAAAUCUCAAGAAUCUGGAUUCUGUGCCGAACUGGUUGUGGGGAAAAUUGCUGACAUUGGAUGUAUUCAAUAUUUCAGGGAACAAUCUAACUGGUACAAUUCCAAAUCUCCCAAUUGAGUUAUCUUACCCAGAAAUAGAUUUGACUUCAAAUCAAUUUGAGGGUUCCAUUCCACAGUUUUGGUUGCACGCAGGUGCCUUGUAUCUAUCCAACAAUAGAUUUUCAAGUAUAGUAUCAUUUGUUUGCGGCAAUAACACAGCCAUGCAUUAUUUGGGGAUUUUGGAUUUGUCAAACAAUCAAUUGAAGGGUGAGUUGCCUGAUUGUUGGAAUAAUUUAAACUCACUACAAUUUCUUGACCUGAGCAAUAACAAACUUGAAGGAAAGAUUCCUUUCUCAUUGGGUGUCUUAACAAACUUGGAGGCUUUGAUUUUAAGAAACAACAAUUUCACUGGAAAAUUACCUUCUUCCUUGAAGAAUUGCUCCCAGUUGGCCUGGUUGGACCUGGGACAAAAUGAGUUUCAUGGUCCAAUUCCAUUAUGGAUAGGAGAAAACUUAAAACAGUUAGUAAUCCUAAGCUUAAAAUUCAAUUACUUUAAUGGAAGUUUACCUUCAAAUCUGUGUUUGUUAACAAAGCUUCAAGUCUUGGAUCUCUCGCAAAAUAGACUAUCAAGAGGGAUUCCAACAUGCAUAAAGAAUUUCACUGCAAUGACUCAAGAUGCUAGAAGCUCAAAUGAACCAAUGAGUCAUUCGUAUCUCUACAAAGUUGGAGUAAAUACCUAUUUGGUUGGACAAUAUAAUUUGUACCUGUUUUUAACAUGGAAAAACGCAUAUCGUUCCUUCAAAAAUGCAGAUAUGCUUCUAACAGGCAUUGACCUCUCAAGUAAUCAUCUCACAGGCGAAAUACCAAAGGAAAUUGAGUUGUUAUUUGGGUUGGUUUUAUUGAACUUAUCAAGGAACAGUCUCAAUGGGGAAAUCAUCUCUAACAUUGGGAACUUACAAUUACUAGAGUUUCUUGAUUUGUCAAGAAAUCAUUUGUCAGGCAAAAUUCCUUCAAGUCUCUCCAAAAUUGAUCGUCUUACUAUGUUAGACUUGUCAAACAAUGAUCUUGAUGGCAAAAUUCCAAUUGGAACGCAACUGCAGAGUUUCGAUCCUUCAGCUUACGAAGGAAAUCCCAAUCUGUGUGGAGAACCUCUUAACAAGAAAUGUGAAGAAGAAACCACAGAAGAUGAGAGGCCGGUAGCACAAGUGAGUGAUGAGAAUUCAAUAUUCUUGGAGGCAUUAUACAUGAGCAUGGGGAUAGGGUUCUUCACAGGCUUUUGUGGCUUCAUAGUUUCAGUAUUAUUCAUCUCCUCUUGCAGAGAACCCUACUCCACGUUCUUGAAUAGUUUGGUCACCAGAAUCUAUGGCUAGAGGAUGAACAGGAUCUCCUACUUUUGCUUGCGUUAUGGCCUUAUGGGGAGUGACACUGCAUCUUCUACUGUUAUCAAUAAACCCAAUCGAAUAAUUUGGUUCCCACCACGCUUUCGUUGAACCUUUACUUACUAGUAGUAUGAAUGCAACUUUUGCUGUAACAAACUUGUUAAUGUUCAUUAAUGUGUUUUGAGUAUUAUAUGUUGCAUCUUUUCGAAGUUCUCAGAUUAUCAGAAUUAAUAGUUUUGUUUUGAGUAUUGUUGCGGCCCAGCCCAGCUGGCCUUUUGGCCGACCCGACCCAGCUCGAGAAUACGGGCAACAAAGGCGCUGCUCACCCGGCCCCUACCCGGACACCUCCUGAGAGCCAGCUGUGGACAGCUGGAGAUUAGGAAGGUUCCUGGAAAGUGGAUCUGCCCUCGUGGGACCUACCUCACUGACAUGGUAUAAAAGAGGAGGUACGUCACCAUACUUUCAGCUCUCACAUCACCUACACACUCUACUGACUUGAGCGUCGAAGUGUCUUUGCAGGUGACACUCCCUCUCCACACGAGGUAUUCGGGAAGUCGGCCGCUCCAGCCUCCAUCUCCACGACCCGGAAUCAGGCGGAAACCCACUCUAACAUCCACAGGAUCUCCCCGAACCGUCCGGUUUCAUUCAAAUUUUCGUUGAAAGUUGAUAGGCUAACAGUAAUAACAGAAUGGUAGGGGCUGAUUCGUAACCGUUUGUGGCUUGGAACAAAUAUAUUGUGGACAAGUCAAAAGGGAUUGGUUUCAUUCAACUUAUCAAGGAACAAUCUCAACGGGGAUUCAAAUUGAC